rnacentral:lncRNA from 1 species
UCCAGAUUCCAAAUGAACUAUUCUAGUAUUUUGUGCAAUCUGACCUAGCUAAUACUGCAUUAUAUAAAAUAUUAAUUUUAUUAUUUGUAAAAUCUUCAUUUUACUAUUUUUUAAUGUUUCAUACCUCAUUAUUAUCUGUAGUCAAGGUCAAAAUGGCUGAUAAGUAAAAAUGAACUUCAAGAUGAUGAACUGCACUACAAAAUAAUAGACAAGUAAUCAAGUACAUGGCAUAUUUUUCCUACAUGAAACACUGAAAUCAAAGUGACAGUUUGCAAUUUUAAAAAAAUGUUUAUGGAGUACAGCUUUAUUGGGCAUUAAAUGGGCCCACUUGUGGUGGUAAUAACUUCAUUCCAAACAGCAAUCUUCAGCAACUCUUUAUCAACAGCUUCCUUUCCCUAUGUUUUCCAGCCUUCUACACAAACAGUUCUAACAUCUUGUCUUGUGUUCUAAAAGAUUGGGUAAAUAUUCCCACAUAGAUAUAGUAAUGAGCUCACUAGUAAUGCAACCCUCAAUCUGUGUAAGCAAGCAACAAUGAUGCAAGAAUCCUUGUCACUAUCUACUUCUUUGUCACAGUGUAACUCAAUAUCUACACAUAUUUUACCAUAGAAAACGGCGAGCAAGUGCUGGUGAAAAAUGAAACCUAUCUUCAAAUUUUAAAAAACAAAGAUCAACGGAGGAGACUUGUACAUGAAAUCUGCACCUUUUUGGACAGCAGCCAGUCUGUGCAGGAGAUUGAUGCCCUGAGAACGGAAAACAGGAAGCUCAGAUUUUGUUUCUUUAUUUAUGGUUUGUUUAGGUGCAGGAGAUUGAUGCCCUGAGAACGGAAAACAGGAAGCUAAAAAAUGCGAACUCAAGACUGCGUUAUAAAACAAAAGAUUGGGCCCUCAAGAAAGAAGAAUAUGAAAACGAGAUUGAAAGACUUUCGGGUGAGAUAUCUAAUUAUUUGAAUGUCACCAAUUUCUGGUAUGAAGAGUCUGAACUUCUCAACAACCAAGUUACAGAUAAACGAACCUUAAGUGAACAAAGAAAACAUGUCAGCACUCAGACGGAGGCUAUGUUUGGAAUGGAGAAGCGGACUGUUGAAACUCAGACUGGAGAAGAUUUCUCAAGCUAUGUUCUUGAAGAGUCAUUAUCACAGGUAAGUAAGAUAUAUGGAUCAGACAGUAGGCAAGUAGCUGCUGUACAUAUGCUAUUAUGUUCUCUCAUUCCUGAGCCUCAUCAACUAAUUUGGAAAUAAAAUGUUUUUUGGCUUUGUUUUUAAAUCCGAACACUUAAUAUUUGUUCAAAGCAGAACUCCUUUUUAGUGUACAAUAGAUGCUUAGUGCUGUAUAGAUUAUUGUUGCUCAGAAUGUUUUUAAAAAUAUAUGUUUAAUAUUAUCUUUACAGGAUGAGUUUGAGUAGCAGAAAUCCCGCAUAACCUGAGAAAUGGGGAGCUUUUAUGGUUAAUAUUUUAAAUUUUAUUGAACAUAUUAACAUAUUUAUAGCUAUUUAACUCUAUGACAAAUAAAGAUAUUUUAAUUCUGCUGUGUUUUGAUUAG